CAGCCGCCACGGGAAUACCGAGGGUGCAAGCGUUAAUCGGAAUUACUGGGCGUAAAGCGCGCGUAGGUGGUUCGCCAAGUUGGAUGUGAAAUCCCCGGGCUCAACCUGGGAACUGCAUCCAAAACUGGCGAGCUAGAGUAUGGUAGAGGGUGGUGGAAUUUCCUGUGUAGCGGUGAAAUGCGUUGAUAUAGGAAGGAACAUCAGUGGCGAAGGCGACCACCUGGACUGAUACUGACACUGAGGUGCGAAAGCGUGGGGAGCAAACAGGAUUAGAUACCCCGGUAGUCCCUGUCUCUUAUAC
rnacentral:rRNA from 1 species